AGAGAGAGACAUGCGCGCAUAUCAAUAAGCGGAGGAAAAGAAACUAACAAGGAUUCCCUUAGUAACGGCGAGUGAAGCGGGAAGAGCUCAAAUUUGAAAUCUUCAAGGUUUUACCUUGACGAAUUGUAGUUUAAAGAAGUGUUUUCUGCUGAAGUUUUGGUAAAAGUUCUUUGGAAUAGGACAUCAUAGAGGGUGAGAAUCCCGUAUUUGACCAUUAUUUUCAGCUUUGUGAUACACUUUCAAAGAGUCGGAUUGUUUGGGAAUGCAGUCCAAAAUGGGUGGUAAAUUUCAUCUAAAGCUAAAUAUUGGCGAGAGACCGAUAGCGAACAAGUACCGUGAGGGAAAGAUGAAAAGAACUUUGAAAAGAGAGUUAAACAGUACGUGAAAUUGUCAAAAGGGAAGCGUUUGACACCAGUGUUGUUUUCUCGAAAAUCAAUUAAAAAUGGCUCGAUUUUGUAUUGUUGAGACCUUAAAAGCUCACUGUACAUUUUUCGUGUCUUUUUUAAUGCACUUUUCGUUUAACAAGUCAACAUCAGUUUCUUUUGUUGUAAAAGGGUCAUUGGAAGGUGGCUUUCUUUUCGGAGAAAGUGUUUAUAGCCUUUGGCCUCUGCAAUCGGGAGAGACUGAGGUCUGCAGCGUAGACUCUUCGGGGUUAGAUACAUUUGUGCUAAGUUAUAGCUUUUUAUAGACAACUUGUUGACUAUAAUUAGUCUUGUAGCUUACUCGCUUAUGCUAUUUUACCUACGCUUAGGAUGUUGAAGUCAUCGUAUCGCG
rnacentral:rRNA from 1 species